ensembl:lncRNA
AUCCAGUAUCGUGCAUCGAACCGUAGGGUAGGGCCAAAUCUUUCCUGCUCUGUACCAUAUGCCUCUCAAAGGGUGGACCAAGGCAGUGCCUUCACAGGGAGGCAGAUGUGGCUUGUGCUUCAACAUUGUGUGAACCAAGAACUUCCAGAUGUUCAAACUGGAUUUAGAAAAUUAUUUAGAAGAAGAUUUAGAAGAGGAACCAGAGAGCAAAUUGCCAACAUCUGUUGGAUCAUGGAAAAAGUAAAAGAAUUCCAGAAAAACAUCUACUUCUGCUUCAUUGACUAUGCUAAAGUCUUUGACUGUGUGGAUC